AGCGCAAAACACCAUCUCAAAAAAAAAAAAAAAAAAAAAAAGAAAUAAUGUGUCAGCUUUGCUUCAUAUUUAUUUCCUCCAAGCCAACUAGUAUCUCAAGACUUUUCAUACUGGAUAUAGUUCUCUAACACAGUAUAUUAUCUUCCAGGUAUUCAAUUAUACUUGAUUAAUUUGCCUGAAAAGUUUUUACUGUGAAUGGCAUUUGUGAUUAAUCUGACAAUAAUGAUUGACAUUAGCUUGUCUCUGACAGAGACAAUGUUUGCUUCUUCCUUUCCAGGUUUGGAACUAUGCUGGUCGUUCCUAGUACUUGUGGAAAGAGGUAAGUGUUAUAUGAUACCUUAUAAGUGAAUAUCCAAGUAACCAAGAAAUAUUCAAUGAUCGUAUUGUGCUCACCUGGGAGGAAAUACUAGUUUUUGCUUUUGAUAAGAGCCUGUACUUUUCAUGGUGGCAUGAAUUGUUCCAGAAAGACAUAAUGGUCUUUGCUAAGAAGCUUCUGAAACUUCUGAAUUUUAGGGAGUACCAACUGUGUGUCAAGUGUACUUAAAAUAUCUGAUAUCACACGUUUCUAAAAUGCAAUCAAGCUUUUAUGGGUUGAAUUGUGUCCCUGCCAAAGGUACGUUAAAGUCCUAACCCCCAGAAUCUUAGAAUGUGACCUUAUUUGGAGAUAGUGUCUUUUCAGAUCAAGUUAAAAUAAGGUAGGGAAGCUGAAUGUUUUAGUCUG
rnacentral:lncRNA from 1 species